AUCCCUGAUGCUGUGCCGCCAAGUGUGAUUCUGUAAAUAGCCAGUAUCCAAGCAUUGCAGUUGGGUGUGGUGGGGGUGGGGUGAGUGCGUUUAGGUUUUCUGUGUACCUGUCUGUCUGUCUAUCAGUCUUUCUUCGUUUUCUUUGCCUUUUUUUGACCAAGUCUCGUAUAGCCGACACUGCUCAGGAACCGGUUAUGUUGUUGAGAUCUUCCUGCCUGCGCUUCUCAUACGGAUGUAUUCACAGAAGAAGACAGGUCGGAAAGUGACAAAGCUUUAUCUGGGGUGACGAGAGACUCACUAACAGAAGGUGGAAGAGGAUUAAAAAGUGCUUGCCUGGGAGGCGAUUCUGAGUAUAAGUAACUGGCGCUGAGGUCUGAAAAGAAAGGUUUGUGUUGCUCUCAGAUCUGGUCAGAGAAGCUCCUUCUGGAAGUGGGUUCAUAGCUAAUCAAAGUGCUAAGAAUAAGUAAUGAUGAGUGUUCGAUUGUUCACGGAUCAUCCGUGUCAACCCUCACCUACUCCAAGGCUCAAGGAACGUCAAAAACACAAGAUAAAAAGAAAGCAAGAGGAUGGGUAGGAGAGCCAUUGCACCUAUGAACCUGGAACUGUGCUUACCUGCAUACGACCUGAACAGCCAGAAUUCCAGCAUCAACCGGGGACUGGUUCCUGAGACCCGUACCCCUAGCUGCAGAGUUAUUGGUAGUGGAAGGCUGCUGAAGGAGAGUCACUUUUCUUUGGAUGUUUGAUGCUGGUAAGCUACCCAGAUCCAAGCAAAUGAACCCACAGCCAUAUACAUAUGGACAAUACAAAUCCAUUUGGAUCCCAUGAGUUAUUAAAAACAAAGGGCAUGAAUUUGGCAGGGAACAUGUUAGGGUUCUCAGAGAGGAGCUAGAGAAAGGUAGUAACGGGUGAAUAUGGUAAAAAUACGUCAUUUAAAUAUUAAAAAUCCUAAUACAUGCAUAUUUUUUUUCAAAGAAUAAAAAUCCUGGCACUCAGCAGAAAGGAAAGAGAAGAGAUAAGCCUGAAUUUAAAAAGUGAUUGUGUGAUCUGACAAGAGUCCAUGAAAUGGAGAGGGGGAUGUCCCCAUCACAGGUGCAGUUGUACCUUUCUUGGCCAAUACCCUAUAUGUAUUAUGUAAUAUGAUGGUGUGUCUCUACCAGUGUGAGUUUCAGAGCAGGGGGGAAAUCUACACUAGCUGGAAAGAGAGUGAACAGGAUCUUGCCAUUACCCUCAAAUAACAAGAACAAUCGCUUGGGGAUUUACUGUAGUAAUGCAAAGAAGAGGAUCAGCUUGUAUUUCCUUCAGGUUAGCAUGCCACAAGCGUAUCAUCGUGUAGGAGCUUUAGAAAUGAUUAGAUAUUUGAUUGCAGGUCUUUUUUCUCACAGUCAAUACCAUCUUUCAUUUGUGACUUUAUGUGUGUUUGUGUACACACCAGAGAAUGUGUGGGAGACCUAGUGCACCUGCCACUGUAUGUACAGGUUAGAAAACAAUCACGGACGUCAGUUCUUGCCUUCCAUCUUGUUAGAGGGAGGAUCCUGUUUUGUUUGAUUCUUUGCUGUUGCACUGUCUGUGCCAGGCUAGCUGGCCUGGCACCUCUUAAGGAUCCCUCCUUUCUCUACUCUCAGUCUCACUGGGAUUACAGAUCGCAUUACUACAUCUGGCUUUAUAUGGGCUUUGAGGAUUCAGACUCUGGGCUUAGGUGGACCCUUAUGUGGCAAGUCCUUUACCCACUGAGCAAUCCUAUGACUUGACUUACCAGUUAUAGCUGUCAAGUUUUUAACUUUUUUAAAAAAUACAUCUCCAAUAUUUUAUUUGCAUACCUUCUUAUAAAACCUUGACUUUAUCCCCGCCCCUAUAUUGAUCUAGUUCCAAAUCUUUGUGUCAUUUAUAGAGUCAAAGCAAUCAACUUCAUUUUUUAGUUUAUCUCUGGAGGAAGACACUAUAAAAAAGAAUGUUUUUAGAAUUCAUGCUUUCAGUUUUGUUUUCCAGUUUUAAAAGGUUAACUCAUUUAAUAAGGACCACAAAAAAGUAUGUUCUUAGGUCUGAUGACAAUUUAGUAGCUUCCUGAAUUUGUUAGCUUUUCUCUUUUCAGUGGGACAUGCUCUUGAGGUAAUGCUAUUUAGAAUAUCUGCAUCUAAGAAUUUCCAUAUGUUCUUCACAGAGGCUCAACAUCCUGCCAGGUCUCCCUGAAUUCUCCCUGGAGACGAAGUAUGUGCAGUCUCCUCUGACAAAGACUGGGCCCCAAGUUGUAAGAAAAGGUUCACUUCCAGCCAAGUAAAAUAACCGUUCCCACAAAUUGAGCAACAUAAUAAAAAGGGAAAGAGAUGGCAGCUUAGAUGAGAACUCUAGGGAGAGAGACUGAUUUCUGCAGUUAGAAGUGCUAUCAUGUCAAAAUUCAUGCUGUAUCUUGGUCAUCCUUAACAGUCUAUAAUACUGCUAUUAAUUGUUAAUAGGAGCAAAAGGAAAUAAUUGGUUCUGUUUUAAUAUCCAAGAGAGAAGGUUUACAGGGUGGUGAUAAAAUAUUGAAGCAAAUAUUUUAUAGUGAAGCAAGCCAUUGUUUUUAUUUGUUAGUUGAUUUGUCAUAAAAUUUCAUUUCUGUAUGUGCAAGCUAAAAGCAUCCAAGUUGAAGUGAUGUCUUCAGGCUAUUCCUCCUAUUUUUAAUAAUUUUUCAUUUUGUCUUAGUUUGAUUACUUGGACAUUAGUAAGCCACCCUUAUUAAAAUAUUAUUGGCACUGGUAUGAAUCUUAGUUUGAGAGUCCUUGCCUGAUAUACACAAGACCUUGCGGUUUAUACCUGCACCAACAAGGACCAGUGGUGAACAGCUAACAUUGCCACACUCAGGAGGGAGCUGCAGGAGCAGCAGGGGUUCAAAGUGAUCCUCUGCCAUACUGUGAGUUCAAGACCAAUCUGGGAUAGAUGAGGGUUUUUUAAAACAAAACAUAUCAGUAGUGUACUUGAGGCUCUGAGGCCUAAGGCCCUGCGUUCAACACAGAUGCACACACACAUGUACACGUGCACACACAUACACACACACACACACUCAUUAUGACACUGAGAAAGGCAAUGACUCCUACUAAAAAUAAUCUUCCAACAACACAUUUUUUUAUUGCUGUGAAUUUUAUUUAUUUAUUUAUUUAUUUACUGUCAAAGCUAUGCUUUGACAGCCAUGCUAUUAAUUCCAGAAAUGUAGAAAGUAGAAUCAUGUUACAAGGAAGAGAGGGCAUUAUAGGUAUGAGCUACCUCAUCCGGCUUCAGUAUAAACUUUCUACAUGUGUUCAGUCACUUAAUGUCCUCAGUUGUCUCAGAGGCGUUCGUAUCUAGGCUCAUUUCAUAGAUAAGGAAACUGAGUGACAGCCAGGGUAACUCAUUGUAGAGUGUUAGUUGUGUGUUGAUUCAAACCUAGACCGAGUCCAGCCCACUCCUAGUGACUGGAUCGCUGACUCUUGUAUUUGUCCUCUCAGGGGUGCUCCCCUGUUGUCUGCCAUCUUCCCACCACUGCAGGCUGGGCUGUGGAUCGCCUACUGGCUUAGGCUAUUGUUAUCACCUAGAAUUUGGAAUCUGGGAGGUGUCUCUGUUCCCAGCCUCCGCUGUCCCCUCCCCCACAGUGGUUUAGCAAGUGCAGGUUGUACAGGUCCAUGCAAAUUUCUCUGGUAAAGAGUUGGAGCCAUUUCACAAGGGUAUUUAUUUGUUUUACUUUAUCUUGUCUGUCAAAAGAGAAGGAAGGCAAAUGAGGAGGUAGACCCUGAUGAGACAGUCCCCUUGCAAUACUGUCAAGAGGGGACUGGUAAGACUCCUGGGGCCAGCGAAAUGACUCAGUGGGUAAAGGCCCCAGAACAGAAAUGGUGGAAGAGAGAACUGACUCCUACAUGCACACUGUGGUAAGUGCACUCCCUCCUCAUACAGUAGUGAGUGAGUGAGGAAGGAAGUAAAUAAUAAAAUAAAUAAGUAAAUAAAUAAACAUAAAUAAUGAAAAGUGCCUUGCCCAUACGCCUUCUAGGGAACUUUCUUCUGUGUCUCCUAAUAGUCUCAGGUGGAACUUCAAACCUAGGGCCUCUUAAUCUGAUAAUCUUCUAGUAACUGUGGGGGCUUCCUGUCCUUUACAAUGUUAAUUACAUUUCUGUCAUAAAUUGUAUGUGUGCUGUGCUUGUUUCUUUGGUUGUUUUUUGCGCAGUAGGUAGGUUUGGUUCUUUAUUGCUUUUUGAAAGGAUCUCCUCUAUCCCAGGCUUGUCUUACACUUGCUAUGUAGCCAAGGAUGGCCUUGAACCUCUGGUCCUUCUACCUCUAUCCUCUUCAUGCUGGCAUUAGACGUGAGCUGCCAUGCCUUAUAUAUGCAGAACUGGAGAUUGAACCCUGGGCUCCAUGAAUGCUACUUUAACCUAGGCGCUUACUAUCCCCCUUGGUACUUAACAGGGUCUCGCCAAAAUGUUAUUGGAUUAAAAAGCUUGUAAUUCCUAAUGGCCCUCGAGCAACAUAUUAAUGUUAUUAAAGGGCAUUCUGGCAUCACUUAGCGUUGGAUCUGCUAGCCCUCCUCCUCUGAGUUCACGCUCCUGCCUCUGUGUAGCACUAGCUGACCUGGAACUCAUUCUAUACACUAGGCUGACUACCAACCAACUCAGAGGUCCUCCUGCCUCUGCCUCCUGCGUGCUGGAAUUAAAGGUGAGAGCCACCAACUAGGUAACUAGAAGUCCAUUACAUGUUCUCCAAAUUCUAUGAAUAAAUUAGGUUGCAUGGUAAAUGGAAGUUUGCAGAUCAAGUUAAAGUUGAUAAUCAGCUUGUUGUGUUUUGUUUUAUGUUUUAAUGAUACAGUCUUACCAGGCAGAUCAAGAUAACCUUCAACUAUGUAGCCAAGACUGAGCUUGAAUUCAGUAUGUAGCCAAGAUGGGACUUAAAUAUGUUUUGAUCCUCUUGCCUCUGCCUCCUACAGUGUUUGGGUUGCAGGUAUGAACCUCAAACCCCAGCAGCUAAACAUAUUUUAAUAAAGGAGGAUAGGUCUGGGCAUGAUACUGCAUGUCUGUAAUGAUGGCAUUUGGGAGGUGGAGGUAUCAAGAAGACAGCCUGAGCUAUUGGAUGAGCUAGGGGGUGAGGGGGAGUCAGAGGACCAGACAUUGCUACAAGGUAGUGUCUUCUAUAUGUAUGGUGAAGCUACACCCAUAAAAUCUCAGCAAUGUGGUUGCCCAAGCAGACAUGAAAAUUGAUACCACCAGUUAACAUACCAUUGUGGACUCGGAAGGUUAUAUUUAUAAAUAAUAUAUAUGUAGCAACAAGAAUUAAAGAAUAAGAAGCCAUGAAUUUAAGAGGGAGUAGGGAGGAAUUAGGGGGAGAAAGAAGUGUGGAAUGAGAUAUAUGUGCUCAUAGAUGGAAUUCUAAAAGGAAUGCCAUGAAAGUGAGAGAUUUGCAAUGUGCUCAUAGAUGGAAUUCUAAAAGGAAUGCCAUGAAAGUGAGAGAUUUGCAGAUGAGAAGGCUUGCUGCUGUGUGGGUUAACAGAGGAAGAAAAAUCAAACCAUUAUAUACAUCUAUGAAACUGUCAAAGAACAAAAUUAAUAAAAGCAAUAAACAGAAUGAAAACAAUUAGGGGCAGGAGAAUGUAGGGGAAUGCUGCUGGAUUCCUGUGGGCCCAGUAGAACCACAGGGUUCCUUGAGAGUAGAGGACACAAGGCUGGGCAGGAUGGCAAAUAAUCCCAGCACUGGAGAGGCAGAGACAGUCAGGUCUCUGUAAAUUCAAGGCCAGCUUGAUAUACACAGUGAGCUCGGGGACAGCCAGAGCUACAAAGUGAUAAAAAACAAAGGGGGUGGGGUGACAGAGUGAGAGCCAAAAAGAUAUAAAGAUACAGCAAGGAAAAAACACAGCCUGACAGAGCUGGUGAGCCUCUUCCCUAAUCUAGCAGAUAUGGGUGGCCUCUCCGUCUUCAAAAAUGGAAGAAAAUGCAUACUUUGCCUCAAACCUUGAGAAGGUAUACAUGCCUGCUGACAUCUUGACUUUAUUUAGCCUUUUGAGUUUCAUUUUAGUCCCUGUUUCCCCAAACUAUAAUACAUGGGUAUUGUAUAAACUACCAAACCUUCAGCUGCUGUUACGGCCUCAAUAGCAAACUAAUAUACUAUGAUUGUUUAGUUAUCUUUAAGUUAUUUUACUCUGUCAAAACAUAAAAAAAAACAAAAAAACCUGAUUACCAACUUUAAUUUGAUCUGCAAACAUAGUUCCGUUUACCAUGUAACAUAAUAUAGUCACAGAUUUUGAAGAACAAGUAAUGGGCUGCAUUCUAUAUUCAUAUACAGAAAGAUUUUAAUUUUUUUCAUGGUUUCAUACUUAUUAUUUCAUGGUUAUUUCCAACAUGUAGGCUAUAUACACAGUACUGCUGACAUAUGGGUUUCUCAGGGUGGCAGGGGUAGGGAGUGGGGUGGGGAGCAACAGUCAAGACUCGCAGUUCAACUGCCAAACUAUGGGCUCUGAACUCUCUUUCUCCGUACAAAAAAAAAACUGAGUCACAUGAAAGUUAAGCUGGUUUUUCCCCUCAGAGUUAUUCAACCAAAUAAAUUGGGGCAGGAUGUGAACCCAAGUAUGUGCUCUAAAAGCCUGGUGCUUCACUCAGCUCCCCUGAUGAACCCUGGUGUCAUACUAAUUUCCUUUCUUCCUAGUAGAAAGUGUCCCCCAAACCAUGAUUUCCCUCAUCAACAUGUUAAUGUUAUUACCAUUCCCCUUGAGCUAGUUUGCUUUUAUUUUUUUAUUUUCAAAUUUUAUUAUA